GCGCAAUUAGCUCAGUUGGAUAGAGCGUUAGCCUCCGGAGCUAAAGGCCGCAAGUUCGAUUCUUGCAUUGCGCA
rnacentral:tRNA from 2 species